CUUUCCCAUUCUGGCACUGAAACGUGAAGCAAAUUGAAGGUUUGACCACCGCAACAAUCGAGAGAUUCUAGGAUAAUCUAGAAAUCUCGUAGGUCCAGAAUGAGAGCAAAGUGGCGUAAAAAGAGGAUGCGGAGGCUAAAGCGCAAAAGGAGGAAGAUGCGUGCGAGGUCUAAGUAAAUUUAUAUUUGCAAUCUCUCUGUGGAGAUAACAUCCUUCUGACUGGAUUCACGUGGAUAAAUUGUAUUUCAAUUAUUGAUACAAUGUAUUUCUUAUAUGCAGAGAGUUCAUUUUAUUAAUGUAUGCCUCUUGGACAAUUUAAUAAAUUGGUCACCUCAAUUACUAUAAAAA